UUGUUUAUUUUUUCACAUAAUUACUAACAGUAAGUGUUUAUCUUAUUUUUUUUCAUACUAGUUAGCAUUUCUUCCAUUUUCUAGUAAAGAAUAAUGUAACCUUUUUUUUUUUUUCUCCUCAGCAGCUAUGUGAUAUUAUCCUUGGCUCAUUAAUAGUCUCUUAUUGAGUUUUUAAAAAAAUUCUUAAAAGUUCUAACAACUUCAUGAAAAAAAGAGAUCAAAAUUUUUAUUUUUAGUUUUUUAGACUAAUGACUGGUAUCAUUUCCAGUUUUUCAACCUAAGGAAAUAAAUAAAUAGAGUACUUUUGCACCUGGCUCUCUGCUAGAUGAAAGAAAAAUCAAACAUAACAAGGAAAGUUUGCUGUAGCAAGAGAGACUUGAAGCCAAGGCUGUGUACCAAUUUAUGGUUGGAAUGAAGGGAUUUGGGGGCUACAAAGAAGAGAAGAAUAUUAUUGCUUGAGUGGCUCAGAUGUGAGAAGUGGCUUUUUGGAGAAGGUGACCUGGUUGCUGAGCAGCGGUAGAGGGUGUGCCAAAGUGAGCAAAAUCACACAGCCAUUAGUUGCAAAGACAUAUUUAUGGGUCACUAUUACUGCAGUAUGAGUUGAAGUCGUGUGUGUGUGUGUGUGUGUGUGUGUGUGUGUGUGUGUGUUCAGUGUCACAUGCUCUGUUUUGGCCUCAGGUAGUUCAUGCUCUGCAUUGUCAUCUGCAGAGGGAAGAUUGGAUGAACAGAACAGGUUUUUGAGGCCAGCCGUCCAUGAAACCCAAGUUGCUUAGUGGGGAAGACUCAUAAAUUCUAGUAUGAGUGUGAAGAUGAGCAGAAGGACAUGGUGCUUUGGAUUUAUAGGUAAUAGAGUUGGAGAUGCAGGGAAAGCUAUGUAUGGGACAAUGUUGUGUGUGUGUGGGGGGGGGGCUAAUUUUAUCUUUGGAUCCAAGAAAGACUCUUCUGAGGCAAUUAUAUUUUUGUCCAUUUGUUUGCUUGCUUUUUGGUUUGUUUGUUUGUUUUGUUUUGUUUUUUUUACCGCCACACCUGCAGCAUGUGGAAGUUCCCCAGCUAGGGGUCAAAUCCACAGCCACAGCCACAGCAACACUGGAUCCGAGCUGCAUCUGCUUCCUUCACUGCAUCUACGGUGACACCAGCUCUUUAAACACCAUGAGUGAGGAUGGGAAUCGAACCUGCAUCCUCAGGGACACUAUGUUGAGUUCUUAACAUGCUGAGCCACAACGGGAGCUCCAGGAAAUGAUGUUUGAGCUGAUAAAUGAGGAAAUUGAAAUUAUGGGAUUGUAAAUUGAUGUGAGAAGUAAGCAAGUGGAGUUAAGGAUUAUUCUCCAAGUAUUGGCUUGGACACCUGUCAAUGGAAAUGCUGUGAUUAGUCUUGGAAAACUUGAUUUUUGAGAUGCCACUGUGGCAUCUCAAAUAGAGAUGUGGACCAUGUAUUUGGGUAUAUGGGUCUGAAAAUCAGCAAGGUCAUUCUGAACUAGAGGUGAGAUUUACUGAGGCCAUGGAUGGAUGGACGAUCACUUAGGGAGGUGUGAAAAGAGAUGAGCACAGUGUCUUGGGGAUAGUGCUGGUAAAUUUCAGUACUUGAAAAACAGGUACCAAAUGACAAGUCACAAAGAGACCUGGGCUAGACAACUACAGAAGUAGGUGGGAAAGCGGGAGUCCGUGGUGUGCUGACACUGAGUAAAAAGCGUGUGUGUGUUUAAAGGAGAAGUGGUUAAUGAGGUCAAAUGUCAGUGCGAGGUCAAGCAAAAUAAAAACCGAGAAGGAGUCUGUUGGAUUUAGAGAUAUGGGUGGAGAUCAUUGGAUAUCUCUGCAAGAACAGUUUCAGUGGAACAGAAGACUGCAUUGAAUGAGUUAACAUGAAAAAGAGAAGUGAAGAAACGGCUAUGAAACUCAGGAGCAUUUCUGGGGAACGCAUGCCUUCUUACCUGGUCACCUGGUGUCAUCUAUUAUUCCAAGGUUAUAGUUGAGGUCUAAAGUCCUCUUGGGGAUUGACCAAGGUCACACCGGGACCUUGUCUGCCUCUGCCUCAGACUCGGCAGCGCCCCCUGGAGAUCAUGGAUGGACAUGAGCAAGCUAUUAGGUUGAAGCUGCUGCUUUAUUACCCUGCUGUCUCGGCAGCGCCCCCUGGAGAUCAUGGAUGGACAUGAGCAAGCUAAAGGCUGAAGCUGCUGCUCUAUUACCCUGCUGUCUGGGCUGAAGAUUUUAUUUUUGCAUUCUCUAAUAACACUGUGCAGAUUAUGACAUAUAAUCUAAUGAGACUGUGCUAUUGCUCAAUAUCCCAUGAGGCUUCCAACGGCACAUUUCCAGCAUGUACUCUCAGAACAGGAUCACAGUAGAUUUAAUCAGCAGAUCAAAGUCACCUUUGCUUUUUUUUCUUGUCUUUUUAGGACUGCACCCAUGGCAUAUGGACGUUCACAGGCUAGGAGUCAAAUCAGAGCUGUAGCUGCAGGCCAUGCAGGAUCUGAGCUGUCUGUGGCCAACACCACCGCUCACAGCAAUGCCAGAUCUUUAACCCACUGAACGAGGCCAGGGAUUGAACCUGCAUCCUCAUGGAUACUAGUCAGACUCAUUCCUUAUCGCUGAGCCACAAAGGUACCUCCCACAUUUGCUUUUGAGGAAGGAUGGAGUAUUAUGCCUCCCAUUUUUCUUAAAGUAGCCUAAGUUCUCUCUAGCUUCACCUCUGUCCCUUUACUAUGCAGAUGACUGCUACUAUGAGAGAAGUUCAGGGAAUAGCUAUGAUUAACAAUCAAUGUGUGCUGCCAUUUAUUUUUUUGACAGGAAGGGAGUAAGUGACUUUAAAUUUUGAAAGAUCCUUCAAGAUCAAAUUGGAAUUUGGUCUUCAGAAAAGGUUGAUAUUCCAAUUUGAGAGUGAAUACCUGUGAUGGAAUAACUUUAGAUGCCAGCUGGUUGAACUUCGUUUUUGUAGAUGAAAAGUUUAAAUGCUUUUCCUAAGGCACAAUGUUAGUUAUGAGUACAGCUGAAACUCAAGCCCAGAUCACCUCAUCUCCAAACCAGCUUUCUAUCUCAUGUGACAUUAAAAAAGAAGAGAAAAAAAAAAGAUCAAGAAAACCACUUACAACAAGAUAUAUAUUCCAUAUAUAUAUAUAUAUAUAUACACACACACAUAUAUAUUCUUUCCAUUUGGCUGGAAGUAAAUAGCUUCUUAAAUUUUUACAAGAAUUUUUAGAGGCCUAUGUUGGUUAAACACCAACAUUUUCCACUCUUCUUGAAAGCCAUUUAGAGGUUUGGCUGGCGGAAAUGAUUGGCAAUUUUAAGAUCAAGGAGACAUUUCUGUAAGAAAGUCAUAUUUCUGUGACCCCAUCCAGCAUUCUGCUGAGAAAUCUGUUCUAUCAUGGUUAUUAUUUUCCUUCAAUGACUAUGGAGAUCAGCUCCAAAAAGUUAAGUAAAAAGAUACUAGAACCUCAUAGGAUAGAAAGGUACCAGGGCCAAACUAAUUGUUUCAGUGUCCUACUUCAGAAGCCAUGCGCUAGCAUUACAGACCACCACCACAGUGCAUUAAGGGCAAGACUGUGACGACAGAGAAAUAGGGCAGAGCAGAGUCUCAUCCUGUUACUCAUUUUGUGCCCUAGACAUUUAACCCUUUCCAAAAUAGAUCUGCCUUUACGAUUCUGUUGGGUGCUGUGGUAGUGCUCCUAAUUAGUGAGCAAAGCGAGGGGAAGAGACGUGUUUUCACUUGCCAUUUAAUUUAUGAUGGCUUGUUCUUGCACAAGGGCUAUGGAUGUAUAUAAAUUAAAGAACCAUGCUAUCUACAGCUGAAUUCUUUGGUUCCUAAUCACAUUUGGGAGGAAGACAGAGUUUUCUGAAAUUCUUUUAGUGGAAGAAGACAAGGCCUGGACCCAUUGAGACUGGUAAGAUUAGUUUUCUAAGUCCUUUGACUCUGUAAAAUGAGGACACGAGGCUAGAUUAUCUUGCAGAUAUUUUCCAGUACACAAGCCACAAAAUUUACAACCUACAUAUAUCGCUAUUUCCUCUCUUCUUGGUGAUGAAAUGGAUAGAUCUCGAAAAUUUACGAGAGAAGGGAAGAACUACUUACACACACAUUUUCUUUUCUCUGUCCCUUUGUCUCCCUCUUUCUGUCUGUCUCUCUCUCUCUCACACAACACACACACUCACAUUCACACACAUUUGCCACUAACAGAGGUGAGACUAAGAUAUCUGACUCCAAAAUCUAUGGCUCAUAUACUAGAGGAUCGAUAGGUCUGGAAACUAAGUUGGAAUAAUAAGAGCCCAAGCCACAUCACCUUUAUUCUCAAGUCUGUAUUUUAUUGCACUUUCUUGGCAAGUAUUAACUACAUUCUUUGUCUCUGUCUUUCUCUCUCUCUUUUAUUUACUUCUUUCCGAAGGCAUUUGAGAUGUUUUCUUAGUCCAUCUCUCUGAUUCCAAAAGAGGAUAAACAUACAAGAUGAAUCCCAUCUGUAUUUUCUAUCAUCUUCCUUUGUUCUCUUAAAAGUAGAUUUUGGAGAAGUAACUUGAUAAAGUGGGAAGGACAUAGAUUUUAGUUUAUUAGUUUCUUGGUUUGUAAUUUGAGAAUGAUGAGACAUCUCCUGGGAUUAUUAUUAGUUACAUAGCCCACUUGAAGCUUUAGUUCCACUAAACCAACAUAUACUUCAUCAAAAAGGAUAUUCUCCUCACGAUGUUGAUGAAAUGUGGGAUGGAGGAGACUUGGAGAAAGAGGAGAUGAUUGCCAGCCUAUGUAUUCAGAAUAUCAGUUUUUCUUUCCAGUAGAUAUUGAUCUUAGCAGAGAGGAGAUUCUUUGAAGGGAGAUAAGGGUACCCUACCCUCUUGGAAGGUCUUACUAUGAGCCAUCUGAACUCUCCUGUCAACUAAUGCAACUAUGACUGAAGAACUCCAUGUCAUGUAAAGGCAUACCCAAGUAUGCCUUACAGCAAUUCUAUUUUCACACACCAUUUAAUAUCUCUCUGCUAAUACCAAAUUCUGGUUACCACCAAGUCCCAACUGGCAAAAGAGCUUCUGAGAAAUUAUGCAGCUUAAGAAGUAGUGUGAUGAAUUGCCACCAGAGAUAUUCAUUGCCUUAUUUCUUCUUACACUGGUUUAAUCAUUUCUUUAUCCAUCUAAAAUUUUUUAUUACAGUGAACCAGGCACAGUGGAAAAAUGUAACAGAUAAUACUAACAAUGACAACUGGCAUUCAUUGGUGUUUCCCAUGCCAGAGGUUUUAUAAAAUAUAAAAUAUUUUAAAUAUUUUAUAUUUAAAAUGUCUUUUUUGGUGUAUUGAUCAUAACCAGACUAUGGAAGAGAUACUGUAAUUAUUGCCCCAUUUUAAAAGUGAAGAACCUAAGUCCUAAAGCUUAUAAGCGAUGGAGUGGGAUUUGAGGUUUAAAACAUAACAGCAACUCUGCUUCCCCAAAGAUUCAUACUCUAGCAGGAAUGAUACACUUAAUAAUGAAAUAAACAUUUGGAAAAUGAACUAUAUAACAGUGCUUAUUAUUACAUGGCAACACUAUCCCUUCUGUAGGAGCAAUUAACUCUGACUAGAUGCAUUAAAGCAAGGUAUCCGAUCUGAGUUGCAUCUUGAAGGAUGAUUAAAAAAAAAAAAAAAACAAACACCCGUUAGACAAAGAAAGUGAGGCAACCUGACUAAAGGCAUGGGUAUGUAAGAGCCUUGUGGCAGAAACAAGAAAACGCAAGUAAUUCGGCAUUGUUGAAUUGUAAGCAGAUAUUCAGAAUUAUGCCAACCAUUAAGGGUUUUGAAUUGUAGACGUUUAGAUUUUUAUUCUCUAGGCAAAGGAUAAGAGCUUUGGGUUUUUAUAACCAGAGAACUGACAUGAUGCAAUUUAAAAUGGAUUAGAAGGAAAGAGGAUGAGGACAGGGGAAUCUCUUAGUAGGACUUUGCAUUAAUCUUGAUAAGAGAUAAUUAGGAACAGAUUGGUAGUUAUUGAAUCAAAAAUAGAGAGGAGGGGGCAAAUUUAGCUGACCUUUAAGAGUUAAAGUUUCCUAACUUGGUUAGUGGGAGGAAAGAUUGAAGCUGAAUUGAAGAAAGAAGCAUAGUCAGGAGGAUAAGAAGAAAGUCUUGGUCCUAUUUGAUUUGGGAUUCUAGUUGCUGAGGCUCAGCAAGUACCCCUGCCUCUGUGGCUUGGUUACAUCAAUUCCUUUUUUGUUCUAAGCUAGUUCACAUUGGGUUUUGGCAUUUGCAGCAAAAAGAUUUUUGACUAAUAAACCCAGGAACCACAAACAUUUAAGUUUUAGGAAGUAGAAGAGGCAAUCCAAUAUAAGAUCUGACCUCACGGAUGUGGAUCAUUGAAACUGAAUAUUCUGCUGAACAGAUCAUUCCACUUUCAAGGCAUGAAAACAUUAUGCUCUUAGGCAUCUCCUCAUAUCACACAGGACUGGAGGUGCUGAUCCUUAAUCAAAGCUUGUUUCUCUGCAUGGAAGACAUGCGGCGAACAGAGAGGUUCCAGAAGACUGUCUCUUCAAUUCACUACUGUAAAUUGAGGUGCAAUGAUUGAUGCUGUAAUGAACUAGAUUAAAAGGUGGGCAAAAUUUGUGAAAUAUUGAACGAGUUGAGAUCAUUUAGCAUGGAGAAAGGAAGGCUAGAGCACAAAAUUGCUGUCUUGAAUUAUUUGAAAUGUUCUGAAAUGGAGUUCCAUGACAAAUGUUUCUUUCUCUCCACUGAGGCCAGAGCAAGAGGAAAUGGAUUCAGGUUGAAGCCGGAUCUAUUUAGGUGAAUUAUAUUAGAGAGCUUCCUGACCUUGAAGGCUAUUUGGCAUAGGAAUGGAUUGCUAAGCCAGGUCAAGGAAUCUCUUUCUUCAGAGAGAGAAUCAGAAGGAUGAAGGGGAUUUGGGAAGUCAUUUAGGCAAACGAAAAUUGAUCUUUUUUUUAAAGACCAAGCUCCCUGAGGAAGAAGUGCCAUGCCUUCAUACAGGGCCUAACAACCUUCACUCAGCUAUGUUAAACUUGCCUUUGCAGCUUCAAACCAUUUUCUCAUUUUUUUCUUCCUAGUUGAGGUAGAGAAUAGUCAGGAUCUUUAAAACUUUUGGUUACUCUAAAGGUCAAUAUUAAAUCACCAUUCACAUCCUCUUUGCAGGCUAAAUAAUCCCUUUUCUGUAGCCUCUUCUCAUAAACAUUACUUCCUAAUCCUUUAAUUGUCUUUGUGGUUCUCCUGUGAAAAAUCUCCAAGAUUUCAUUUCUGUCUGUAGUUUGGAGCCUCAAACUGGAUACAAUAAUCUAGUAGGAAAUUUAAAUGCUGAAUAUAGUAGACCAGUUGUUUCUGAGUUGUUGCCUUUACUCCUGUUCCUGUGGUUCGAUGUACAUUUUUUUUCCCCCGUAUUUUUAAAUCAGUCAUACCUUGCAUUCAGCUUGCUUACAUUGAGCUUGCUACAUUUGUUUUGUACUUUUAUUUAAUUUUUUCCCCCAGAGUCUAAUGUAAUUCCUGGCAUACUAAGGUACCCAAAUAACAAUAUGUCGAAUGAAUUAAUGUUCUAGUGAAUAUAUUUCAGAUACCUAGUUGUCAGUUAUUGCAAGGAUUCAAUUAGAUAAUUAAUGAUAUAGUUCUUCAUCACCUGAUGCAUGCUUCUCUUUCACUGGAAAAUUUGUAUGCCUGUAAUUUGAAUAUAUUCCUUUAAUGUUCUACCUUGUGGUUCAUAAUAUUUUUGAAAUCAUUUUUUUUUCUGCAUAUGUACAGUCAAGGGCUACAUUUUCUAGUUUGUUUACUGUUGGUAUUAAUAGUUAUGAAUGCUAAUGGCAAAAAAUACAAUUUUAUAAAACAAUGUAAAAUAAAUGUAAAUAUCUCCUUUUUCCCAGGGCUAGUCAUUGCCUAGAAGUUUUCUGUUUUCUCCUCUGUACACAAAUAGUAUCAAACUGCAUAUACUAUUUAUGAUCUUUUUUUCACUUUUCCCCCAUUUUUACACUACCUUAAAAUACAUGCAGAGUCUAAUCACUUCUAAUCCUCUUGUGCCAUCAUUCUAUCCCAAGCCACGACCGUCCCCUGUGAAUUAUUGCAAUUGCCUUCUAAUUUGCCUCUUUGCUUCUACUCUUGCAUUGUGACCCCAGUUUACUCUCCUCACAGAUCUUUUGACAUAAGAUGGGUCUUCUCAUCUCUUGGCUUUGGCUCAUGUCACUCAGUAUUAAAGACAAAUUCUUAGAGUAAAUAGUCCAUGAGGCUCUCUGGGACGAAGUUCUCUGCUCUUCCUAUGGGAUUCUCUUACUAUGGCUUAUCAUUUAUGUCCCACAUCCACUCAAUCAGCCCAGCUUCCUUGCUAUUCUGGAAUAUGCCAGGCAGAAUCCCUUCAGAUCUACACUCUGCCAUUUCAUUUCCCCCCAAUACUCUUCCCUCUCAUUCUACCAUUGCUUUCACAUCCCUGCUCAGAUGCACAUUUUUAGAGAGGACUUGAUUAAUAGCACCAUGUAGAUGCCUGUGCAGAUGUUAAUCCUGCUCAUAUAUACAUAUACAUAUAUGUAUAUAUAUAUAUAUAUUUUUUUUUGCUUUUU